GGAUCAAACAGGAUUAGAUACCCUGGUAGUCCACGCAGUAAACGAUGAUUACUAGUUGUUUGCGAUACAAUGUAAGCGACUGAGCGAAAGCGUUAAGUAAUCCACCUGGGGAGUACGUUCGCAAGAAUGAAACUCAAAGGAAUUGACGGGGGCCCGCACAAGCGGAGGAACAUGUGGUUUAAUUCGAUGAUACGCGAGGAACCUUACCCGGGCUUGAAAUGCGGCGGACCGGCAGAGAGAUCUGCCUUCCCUUCGGGGCCGCCGUGUAGGUGCUGCAUGGUUGUCGUCAGCUCGUGCCGUGAGGUGUCGGCUUAAGUGCCAUAACGAGCGCAACCCUCAUCAUUAGUUACUAACAGGUCAUGCUGAGGACUCUAGUGAGACUGCCAUCGUAAGAUGCGAGGAAGGUGGGGAUGACGUCAAAUCAGCACGGCCCUUACGUCCGGGGCGACACACGUGUUACAAUGGGUGGUACAAAGGGCAGCUACAUGGCGACAUGAUGCUAAUCUCCAAAACCACUCUCAGUUCGGAUCGGAGUCUGCAACUCGACUCCGUGAAGCUGGAUUCGCUAGUAAUCGCGCAUCAGCCACGGCGCGGUGAAUACGUUCCCGGGCCUUGUACACACCGCCCGUCAAGCCAUGGAAGCUGGGGGUACCUGAAGUCCGUAACCGCAAGGAGCGGCCUAGGGUAAAACUGGUGACUGGGGCUAAGUCGUAACAAGGUAGCCGUACCGGAAGGUGCGGCUG
rnacentral:rRNA from 1 species